UGUCUGCCUGCAUGCUGCCAUGUCCCACCAUGAUGAUAAUGGACUGAACCUCUGAAACUCAGACAUUCAUUCUCUGGGCACUGAGAUCACGGCUGCAGUGUGAGCUCCUGGCAGGAAGCUGUGCUGUUUUUCUGUCAAGCUAAAACCCAGCAGCCUGAAGCAGCAGCCGCAGCAAGGGGCCAGGGGCUGGUGACGCGGCUCGGUUUCAGAGUGGACCUGGGUUCCAUCCUCAGCACGGAGCAAAGCAGGUGUUGUGGCACACGCCUGCACUCCCAGCACUUAGGAGGUGAAGGUCCCCAAUUCCUUUGAGUCAUCCUCAGGAGGCAGUAGAGGCUGAGUCUCAAGGCUAGCAGUGGCAUGGAAGAAGGGAAGUGCUGUGGGAUGGUCUUUCUGUAUGCUGUAAACAUGUGUUGCUCUCAUUGGUUAAUAGAUAAAGCUGUUUGGCCAAUGGUGAGGCAGGGUAAGGUUAGGUGGUGCAUUCAAACUGAAGCCAGAGAUGAAGAAGGGUGGAGUCAGAGCAGAUGUCAACCCACCACCCAAGAAGAAACAUGCAGCAGACCGGUAAAGCCACAGCCCUGUGGCAAAACAUAGAUUAAUAGAAUGGGUUAAUCUAAGAUGAAAGAGCUAGCUAGCAAGAAGCCUGAGCCAUAGACCAAACAGUUUGUAAUUAAGAUUAGGCCUCUGAGUGAUUAUUUUAUAGGCUGCUGUAGGCUGGGUGGGAUACAGGAAAACUUCUGGCUACAACUGGUGCUCACCAUUGGGCAUCAAUCCACAUAGACCUGAUGAAGUUUAAAAAGGAUUCUUAAUGCACAGAAAAGGAGCCACACCGGGCCUCCUGGUCUCACAGUCUUAUGCCAGCAGCAGCGCAGAGAUGUGUCUCCCAACCUGAAGAUGGAGCUGGCCUCCAGCCGCCAUGAGCUAAGCGAAAUGGUGGUCUCCCAAAGUCUCUCCCACAGGCUGUGGAACCGAGAGGUUUCUCACAGCUGCUGCCUGUGGGCUUGAGAGCACAGCCUCAGGCUUAAGAACACAGCUGCACACUAUUUAAUACUAAUUCCCAGAAUUGGGGAGGUAAGUGUGACUCAUUGGUACCUGUGCCAUGUUGGAAAGCUGAGUGGGGAGGAGCCAGCAGCUAAAGCUGCACUUUUAUCCUAGCCAUGCAGAUUAAUAGUUUAAAAACUUUCCUGGUCAGAAAAGGAUUACAGAUACAUAAUAAAGUCAGAUUCAGAUGGAAAAAAAAAAAACCACCUCUAAACAGGAUACAAGAUGUUUAAAAAUAUAU